rnacentral:rRNA from 1 species
GACGAACGCUGGCGGCGUGCCUAAUACAUGCAAGUUGAGCGAUGAAGCUUGGUGCUUGCACCAAUUUGAAGAGCAGCGAACGGGUGAGUAACGCGUGGGGAAUCUGCCUUUGAGCGGGGGACAACAUUUGGAAACGAAUGCUAAUACCGCAUAACAACUUUAAACAUAAGUUUUAAGUUUGAAAGAUGCAAUUGCAUCACUCAAAGAUGAUCCCGCGUUGUAUUAGCUAGUUGGUGAGGCAAAGGCUCACCAAGGCGAUGAUACAUAGCCGACCUGAGAGGGUGAUCGGCCACAUUGGGACUGGGACACGGCCCAAACUCCUACGGGAGGCAGCAGUAGGGAAUCUUCGGCAAUGGACGAAAGUCUGACCGAGCAACGCCGCGUGAGUGAAGAAGGUUUUCGGAUCGUAAAACUCUGUUGGUAGAGAAGAACGUUGGUGAGAGUGGAAAGCUCAUCAAGUGACGGUAACUACCCAGAAAGGGACGGCUAACUGCGUG